rnacentral:rRNA from 1 species
UGGGGAAUCUUCCGCAAUGGACGAAAGUCUGACGGAGCAACGCCGCGUGUAUGAUGAAGGUCUUCGGAUUGUAAAGUACUGUCAUUGGGGAAGAACGGUUUUCUUGAAAAGAUUGAGAAGACAUGACGGUACCCAAGGAGGAAGCCCCGGCUAACUACGUGCCAGCAGCCGCGGUAAUACGUAGGGGGCAAGCGUUGUCCGGAAAUUAUUGGGCAUAAAGGGCGCGUAGGCGGGCCUUUAAGUCCGGUGUGAAAGAUCAGGGCUCAACCCUGAGAGUGCAUCGGAAACUGGAGGCCUUGAGGACAGGAGAGGAAAGUGGAAUUCCACGUGUAGCGGUGAAAUGCGUAGAUAUGUGGAGGAACACCAGUGGCGAAAGGCGACUUUCUGGACUGUAACUGACGCUGAGGCGCG